GUGCCAGCCGCCGCGGUAAAACGUAGGUGGCGAGCGUUAUCCGGAUUUACUGGGCGUAAAGGGUGUGCAGGCUGCUCGUCAAGUGGUGUAUGAAAGCGCCCGGCUCAACCGGGAAGGGUUAUGCCAGACUGACGAGCUAGAGAGCGAGAGCGGGACGUGGAAUUCCGGGUGUAGUGGUGAAAUGCGUAGAGAUCCGGAGGAACCCCAGAGGCGAAGGCGGCGUCCUGGCUCGCAUCUGACGCUCAGACACGACAGCAUGGGGAGCGAACGGGAUUAGAAACCCCGGUAGUCCAUGCCGUAAACGAUGCAUACUAGGCGUCGGGGGACUCAACCCCCUCGGUGCCGCAGUUAACACGGUAAGUAUGCCGCCUGGGGAGUACGACCGCAAGGUUAAA
rnacentral:rRNA from 1 species